UCACUGGUUAUCCUCUGUCGAA
rnacentral:miRNA from 1 species